rnacentral:rRNA from 1 species
AGAUUGAACGCUGGCGGCAUGCCUAACACAUGCAAGUCGAACGGGAGUAGCAAUACUCUAGUGGCGGACGGGUGAGGAAUACGUAGGAAUUUGCCCUUAAGUGGGGGAUAACCCGGGGAAACCCGGAUUAAUACCGCAUGACCUCGAAAGAGCAAAGUGGGGGAUCGCAAGACCUCACGCUUUUGGAGAAGCCUACGUCGGAUUAGCUAGUUGGUGAGGUAAUGGCUCGACCAAGGCGACGAUCCGUAACUGGUCUGAGAGGAUGAUCAGUCACACCGGAACUGACGACACGGUCCGACUCCUACGGGAGCAGCAGGUGGGAA